CUACGUGCCAGCAGCCGCGGUAAUACGUAGGGUGCGAGCGUUAAUCGGAAUUACUGGGCGUAAAGCGGGCGCAGACGGUUACUUAAGCAGGAUGUGAAAUCCCCGGGCUCAACCUGGGAAUUGCGUUCUGAACUGGGUGGCUAGAGUGUGUCAGAGGGGGGUAGAAUUCCACGUGUAGCAGUGAAAUGCGUAGAGAUGUGGAGGAAUACCGAUGGCGAAGGCAGCCCCCUGGGAUGGCACUGACGUUCAUGCCCGAAAGCGUGGGUAGCAAACAGGAUUAGAUACCCUGGUAGUCCACGCCCUAAACGAUGUCGAUUAGCUGUUGGGCAACUUGAUUGCUUGGUAGCGAAGCUAACGCGUGAAAUCGACCGCCUGGGGAGUACGGUCGCAAGGUUAAAACUCAAAGGAAUUGACGGGGACCCGCACAAGCGGUGGAUGAUGUGGAUUAAUUCGAUGCAACGCGAAGAACCUUACCUGGUCUUGACAU
rnacentral:rRNA from 1 species